rnacentral:rRNA from 14 species
UUGACCUCGGAUCAGGUAGGAUUACCCGCUGAACUUAAGCAUAUCAAUAAGCGGAGGA